UCCCUGCCUUUGUCCAGGGGCCCCUGCCUGGAACACCCUCUUCUCUCCUCCGCACCAGGGCUGCCAGGUCCAGGAGGCCCCACCCAAUCUCACCCUGAGGCUCCGCUCCCUGGCCCCAGCCCUGGGCCCUCUCUGGUCUGCCUCCCUUGAUCUGUCUCCAGGUCCCACCAGGCUCCAGGAAAGGAUUCAAGGCAAUAGCUGCCCCGUGGUUUGCUGAGCGGCUUGUUCCUGUUGAACUUUUUCAAGUCUGACUUGAUUGCCUGGACUCCAAGCCAAGCAGUCUCGGACCCCAGACCCCGGCAAGCCCCCCUAGGUACAAGACCAUGUCACCCAGCUGUCCUCGAGGGACCUCGGUUCUCCUGACUCUAGGUAGUCGUACCUGGUGCUUCUCCUCCACGGAUCCCAGGAGACACUGGUCUUUAAGGACACCCCCUGUCAUUUAACUGGCCAUCGGGUCAUGUAGAUGAAAGCAAAAGUUAUGAAAAUGACAAGGGGCUGCAGGAAGGUUGGACGAAUCCUCAAGUUUAACCACCCAGGCCUCAAAGCCCCCGAGUCCUUCAACAGCUCCCAAUAGGAAAGAAAGAAAUCUAUUUCAGAUCUUGCCAUGUAAGAGUUAUGCACAGAAAGGGGUCACAAGGACCCUCCCACUGUGCUUCCAAGGCAGUUGCCACUCAGUAUUCCAACAGCCGCCUCUGGUCACCAUGAGCUUCGAGCUCCGUGUUAAUCUGGACAGAGGAGCUCAUCUCCAGCCAAGGCCAGAGAGUUACCACAGUCUCUUGACGUGCCGUGUAAUUGGAGACGGCUUUCUCGGGAGCAGUUUGUGUGAUGGGCUGUCUGGAGGCCAGCUGUGUCCUGGAUGUGCCCAGUGGUCCCUUGUGGCCUGGGGGGGCGGGUGUCGUUCUGAUCUGAGAUGCAGGAGCCACCAGUGGCAUAGUGACAGUCCCCAUUACAGGAUCCGGAGGAAUCUCAGCAGCCCUCCACUCUAAUCCCUCUGGGUUAAUGAGGAAGACACCGAGUCCAGAGACCAAGGGGGACUCGGUCAAGGUCAAGGCCAUCAGCUGUCAGUUUCUGCUAAGUUCACUGAUCAUGCCUCUUCCCGAAGCCAUCGGGCCCUGGACGCUGUCACCUGGCCACCCUACCUCCCAGCCACCCCAGCCCUGUCCACCGUGACAGGCCUCCUUGUGUGCACAAGAUGCCACUGUAUGCGGUUCUUGAUUUAAGACCUGGAGGAGGAAGUACAUGAAACAGCAGUUUGUAAAAUGCAGAGCCAUCUGAAAGCAUGAACUUCUUAUUUAUUUAUUCUCCUUAUAUCUGUACACAACGUUGGGAUUUGUUGUCACAUGUUCGUAUGUGCACACAAAGUGACAGUGUAAUUUGGCCAAUGUCAAUCCCCAGUACCUUGGGAUUUUUAUAUCACUGUCCAAUUCCACAAGUCAGACGAGCCUACACAAUGGCAAGGACACAAGUCCCCCCAGGAAAUGACAUGCUCUGCUUCCUCGUGCUACGAGGGUGGGUGUCUCGGAGGCCACAAGGCAGGAGGAGGGUCAGGCUGGGGUGGGGAGAGGGGGAGGCUCGGCCCAGGUGUCUAGGACCCAGGUGACCCUCUGGGUUUAGGACUGGGUGGAUGUCGUGGCCUGGUCCCAGGGUCAGGCUGGCUUUAUCUGUGCAGUUGUUACCUCCCUAUGCAGGAAAGGAGUCUUUGGGGAUCCUCAUGGAAGGACAGUCCCCAGCUUCAAGCAAACCCAUCCCCACGUUUGCUGGUGGGGCCUCAGAGACUGGCCUGUGUCCUUCCAGCCUGUCAGCAGCGGGUGCUUAGGAAGGAAGGGCCCCAUGGGGCUCACUGUGCGGCCGUGGGCUCUGAGGACAGAGGGAACCACCCAGCUCUGAGGGGCUAUUCCCAGUGACAACCCCCCACCAGGGUGACCUGUGUCCUUAACAAAAUGGAAGCUGCCAUGUCCCCAAGCAGACGUUGUGUGUCAUCCAGAGGAAGACCCUGCAAGCCUGGGAGUGUCGCCUUCCAAUGAGGCCUAAGGUGCGAGGCCUGAUGACAGGGCCACACUCUGGUUUGAUUCCUCGUGGUGUGAGCCUCAUACGCACACACACCUGCACGGCGCAGGUCGGCACCCUGUGUGGCUGGUCGCUGCAGUCGGGAUGGAGUAGACACAAGAUGCGUGGGGCUCCUGUCCACCUGACAGGGCAGACUAUUCACAGCUUCCCUUUCUCUAUGAGUAGAGUGCACUCUAAAAUAGCAGUGAAGUAGAGCAUAGCAAAUGCAUAAGCCAGCAACAUGGCGGUGUUCCCUUUCUGUAACAAAAAUACCUGAGAUAAUUGACUUAUGAAGAGAAAAGGUUCUGGAGGUUCCAGAGGUCAAUUGGUUGGCUCUGCUGCUUUUAGCCUGUGGUAAGGCAGCACAUCGCCGUGGGAGGGUGAGGCAGAGCCAAACUGCUAUCCCAUAGCCCGGGAGCAAGAAAGAGGAAGAGACUGAGGUCCCAUUAUCCCCUUCAAGAGCACACCCUCAGUGACCUUCCCCUAGGCUCCACCUCUUAAAUUCCCGCUGCCUUCCGAUGGCACCAGGGCUGGGGACAUGGGGACACUUACCGGAACCACAGCAGUAUUUGGGCUGUGCACACCUUUUGAUGUGUGGCAGAGCUGCAGGUUAGCUCACGCAGCCGCACACAGUCCAGCGGGUGAGGCCUUGUGCUAGGACGUCACUGUGGCCACAGGGUACUGGGCAGGGCGUCCCAGCCUCCUGAUCCUGGGGCUCUCUGUGCCUCUGCUUAUUUUACUGCCUCUGUUGUGCCUGUGCCUUUUCUUGUACACUCGCUCACACUCCCUUUCCUUCUGCAAAUCACGUGAUUCAUUAAAACUGCAGCUCGGCUCAGAAGGGGGGCGCAGCCCAGAGGGAGAACACGGUGGGGAAACGGGCUCAUGUUUCCUCCUAGUUUUGUUCUCUUCUUGGUUUGAAGGAUCUCUCGGCUUCUUCAGAGGCAAGUACUCAUAUGUGGUUAAUUAUUCAACCAAAACGCACGCACUGCCUGAGUCGUUCCCACGUGGCCAGCAGGUCUGUGCCGGUUCCCAGGAGGACGUGAGGAAAACAGUGCAGGUCCUACCCGCGCCCAUCAGCCACCGUCACCGUGAAAAACGCCGUGAUCGACCUAAGAAGAGGAAGGGUUUCUCCUGGGUCGCAGUUCGGGGGGUUCCAGUGCCUGAUCGGGUGGACCGGUUCAUUUGAGGCCACGGUGGGGUGCUCGAUAGCAAUGGCGGGGGGUGGGGACAAAGCCAGGAGAAACUGCCCAGCUCAUGGCCAGGGAGCCAGGGCGAGGAGCAGCCUGGGAGCGUCCUCUCAAGGGACACCCCAACCUACAGCCAGAGGCCCUCGGCCCCACCUCCCAGAGGCACCCCCCAGAGGCAGCACCAUCUCCCCGUAGCACCGAGCCAGGACGUUUGGGGACACUAAGGUCCAAACCCUCGACCCACUGCACAGAGGAGAGCAGACGGGCUCUCGGCCAGCGCCCAGCCCAUUCCCAGCUGGUCACUACAGCCCUAACGCUCCUCGCCCGCCCCUGACGGCGGCUGUGCCGGCAGCUUGAGAUCCCCUUCUGACCUCCACACGUUCCUCAGGGGUAGAUGUUGUCACAGAUGAAAGCACGGAACUCGGGACACUAAACACCGUAGCCGGGCCAGCCAGAUGCAUGGCAGAGCCAGGAGCUCCACCCUCUCUGCUGGCCCAAAGCGGAUGCCCAGCUUGGAGCUUUAGGGACAGCCCGGCCAGCGGAGGGCUCUAGACCACGGACUCCAAGCCCAAGCAACCCCUGCGCUGCCUGGAACCACAGCAGACUCCCAGGGCCGGCUCCGGGGACGGCCACCUCUGAGCUGUCUCCGUCAUUCCCCCAGCACCCACGCACAGUACCGCCCCUUCCCACCCUCCAGAUCCUCUCAUGACCCAAUUGCUAGAUCUUACCCCUAAAAGCUCUUGUCCCAACAACAGCCUUUGUGCUUUCUCUGCCACUCCUCUCUGGCCUCAUCUCCCUCCCCUCAUCUCUCUUUUGGCCAAUCCAAUGCCUGUGGCUCUGACGUGCCCGAUUCCCGCUACCUCAGGGCCUUUGCACUGGUGGUCUCUGCCUGGAGGAUUCUUUUUUCUCGCUACCUGGAUGUUUUACUUUCCCCUUUCCUUCAACUGUCCUCUCAAAGAACUCUUCUCAGUGAGCCUUUCCCAGACCACUAUUUUAAAAUAGAAAUAGAGCCAGGUGUAGUGCCAUGUAUCUAAGCCCCAGGUAUUUGGGAGGCUGAGGCAAGAGGGUCCCUUGAGCCCAGGGUUCCAGAGCAACCUCAACAGCAGAGCAAGACCCUGUCUGAGAAAGAAAAGGAAAGAAAGGAAGGAAGAGGGCAUAGAAAAUAUAAAUGCCCUCUUCUAACAUCCCCUAUGUCCCCUCUUUGCUUAUUUCUCGGUGUGGCCCCUGUCGCUGCCUAAUGCACUAGAACUUACCUACAGGACUGCUCCACUGAGGCCCACCCCAAGGGCAGAGCUGUGUGCACAUCUUGUCCAUCUGUUGCUGCAGGAUCUAGUAAGUGCCCCGUCUUCAGGCGGUGCUUAAUAAAUGUUUAUGAAUGACAGCGGCGCAGCCCAAGAGCUACAGAGGGUGAAGGAAGGAGGAAGGCCCAAGCUGAGCUCUGCAGGGAGGAGUUCAGUGCCAAAGCUUCAUAAGGGGGCUGGAGCUGUCUGAGGCCAGGCCAAGGCCAAGCAGUAACACCCAAAUUGGGACAAAGAGUCAAUAAGCCUCGUGAAACCUUAAGAACAUUUUUUCAGAGCUCCACUGUCAGGUGGGUGGGAGGACGAGCACGGGACAGGCCAGUGAGUGCUGUGGGGUUUGCAGUCCAGUCAGGGGGCCAGGGCUCAGGCUCCUGGCUUCUGGGCACUGCAGUAAAUAAUCAGUUCUUGCCCAAAGCUUCCUUUGGUAGCAAACCUCUUCUCUUGGCCUGAUCCAGAAGGUGGGUGUGACUCAAGGGAGGGCUACAAGUCCUGAUUUUCUGACGCAGCGUCGCACGUAUUUAAGGAAGACUUGAAGAAGAAACAGAGAUGUCCAGAUUGAUAGUCACGACGGGCCGUGCUCCUGUCUCCAGACCUGGUGUCAGGCACCGCGUGAGGACCGCUCCAUCCCCAUGAAGCUGGGGCAGAGCUGCUGGACGCAGAGGGACGGCAGGCACUUCUCAACCUCAGCUCAACCCUGGAAGCUCCAGCCCAAAGCACAGAUCCACCUUCAGGAGGGGAGAGUGGGGCGGGGUGUGUUCAAAGCCUUCUCCAAAAUAGUGCUCCCAUCAUGAGUGUCCCCGCCGCCCCCUGCCGCCCUCCCUCCCUCACGUCCACACCCACCUUGCUUUGGCCAGAUUCACUCACUCAGGAUUUUCGGAAUGCCCCGGGGAGAACAGUGUGUAGACAGAGAAACUGGGGGACUCAACAACUUGGUGUGUUCUGGAAAUUGCAGCAUUUGGUUGGAGGGGGGACCUAGAGAUAUGGGGUGGGGGUUCAGGAAGGAGGACUGCAAGGUCCUGCAGACAUGGGUGGACCUAGCCCCAUCGCUGGUCAGCGGUGCUUCCGGCAAGUUCCGUAGCCAUCUCAUCUCUCUUCUAUCUGUAGAGAAAAUGAUACCACCCUGCAGGUAUUUCAGGUGAGACCCGGAUGAGGUCGAGCAGGAGAGAGCAGAGGGUAGAUGCUCCACCCACAGCAGCGGCCGGGUGGUGGUCAGGAGGGUCUUCUAUUCUGCUCCAGGUGUGCAGGUUCUGUCUGGCUGGUGGCAGGAGUCAGGGGAAGAUCUCAGCUGGAGAACAGCAGGUGCCAUCGUUAAUCCCAUUUGACAAAUGAUAAGACUCAGGCACAGAGAGUUGAAGUAACUUGCAGUAGGUGGCAGAGCUGCAUAAAACUCCAGCUCCUAAGCACCAUUGUGACUACUCUUCCUCCAGCUGAGGAAAAGCCCUGGCCACGGUGGAAGAGCCCAUGAUACCCAAAGGGGAAACCGGACUUGGCUUUGCUUUCGACGUAUCAGUGCAGGUGCUGAGGAAAGACUCGUGUAGGUACCUGCGUAUUCCUCAGGGGACUUCUUUACAAAAAGACUGCUCCUCCAGCUCUCUCCCUGGCUGGCUGGGCCACUGUCAGGACUCCUAUCCAAGGGCUUUGCAAAAUGGCAGGUGUCAGGUUCACCCAUUCCCUGGGCUUGUGGCUUGGGAGAGGAAGGGCCAGCGCCAAUCAGCCCCACGUCCUGUCCUGCAGUGUAGAGGAAUCGGGGGAUCCCAGGAGGAGGAGGUGCCUGUGUUGGGGCUCAGAAAUGCUCACUGGAGCACAUAGGCAUAGUGUCAGCGUUGGGAAAGCAGAACACCGAGUCCUACAGGUGGGAAGGCAGGAGUGUGUCCUUCCCAGCGGCCAUGGCUGUGGUGACUGUGGUGGCCAUAUGUCAGGUGCACUGUGCAUACUCCAGCCAGACAGGAUUUCACGUAGGAACUGGUUAUACCGAUGACUGAAUGAUGGGAAGCCCAGAGGCGAUGGGGAAAGCCAGAGAUGGGCCAGGGUCCGAGUCCCUACCAGACCUGGUUGCACCAGAUGGGCUUGGGCCAAAGGCGGCCCCUUUACAAGUUCUUCAGAAUUGAAGAUGGCAGAGCACGCCACGAGGCAGGGCCCUUACAGGUCUUCCUCCCCACUGAUCUCAUUUUGUGUUUGUUGCUUUACUUUGAAACAACGUCAAGCACAGAGAAGAGCUGCCCAUGCUGUGUCUUUAGCAGGGAAUCAGGUGCUGAGAUGUCACCUCCCAGGAAACCUCAGUGGUUUAGGGGACAACAGGAGCAGCCAUGGGAUGCUGUGGGGUUUAGCUGCACCCUGACAGGCUGUACCUUUGGAUUUGGCCCGUCUCCAACGAAGUUCCUUUGAUGGCGUGAUGAGAGUGGUGACGGGCUUCCCCUGCCCUUAGCCUGGGUAACUAGCAGGGUUUCACAGAGAGCUUCUUGGGGAGUACUGGGCUUUUGACAUAUUCCCUUAAGACAGUAGGAACUCGGGGUGUCCUAUCUUAUCUGGUGAGAUGUGGUCCAUUACUACAGCUAUUUCAAUUCCCAGAUUGCCCCCAUUUGGCCAGGGGACUCCCUUCACCUGGACUCUGUCUCUGUCCGUCUCCAUCAUCCUUCAAGCACCUGCUCCUUUUCUGGAGUGCACAGGACCCCCAACCUCAGCUUGCGCUUUCCCCCCCACCCUCCAACCAUCGUGUCUCCAAGAAUCCUCGUUCUUCUGGGUGGGAAAAUGGCGUGUGGAAUCCAAGAGCCAGCACCAGACCUGCAUUUGUUAUGGGUGUCACUCCUCCUCCCUUUUGUGAUGUCCCCUCUGAGGCCCACUCUGGAUGACUAUGGCCCUNGGGGGGCGCAGCCCAGAGGGAGAACACGGUGGGGAAACGGGCUCAUGUUUCCUCCUAGUUUUGUUCUCUUCUUGGUUUGAAGGAUCUCUCGGCUUCUUCAGAGGCAAGUACUCAUAUGUGGUUAAUUAUUCAACCAAAACGCACGCACUGCCUGAGUCGUUCCCACGUGGCCAGCAGGUCUGUGCCGGUUCCCAGGAGGACGUGAGGAAAACAGUGCAGG
rnacentral:lncRNA from 1 species